rnacentral:rRNA from 1 species
CCUACGGGUGGCAGCAGUGGGGGAUAUUGCACAAUGGGGGGAACCCUGAUGCAGCGACGCCGCGUGGGUGAAGGAGUGCUUCGGCAUGUAAAGCCCUAUCGGCAGGGAAGAAGAAAGACGGUACCUGACUAAGAAGCCCCGGCUAACUACGUGCCAGCAGCCGCGGUAAUACGUCGGGGGCGAGCGGUAUCCGGAUUCACUGGGUGUAAAGGGAGCGUAGACGGCCAUGCAAGCCAGGGGUGAAAGCCCGGGGCCCAACCCCGGGACUGCCCUUGGAACUGGGCGGCUAGAGUGCGGAAGGGGCAGGAGGAAUUCCUGGUGUAGCGGUGAAAUGCGUAGAUAUCAGGAGGAACACCGGCGGCGAAGGCGGCCUGCUGGACCGCGACUGACGUUGAGGCUCGAAAGCGUGGGGAGCGAACAGGAUUAGAUACCCCAGUAGUC